CUGGAACCUGCUGCCUGGGAUUCACCGUCACCUGCAGGAGGACAGGAAACAGCAACAGAGAUAAGAGAGCAGGGAUUUUCAUCCGGACCUUCAGGAUGUACUUUCCAGGCGAGACGUCGGUGAUGUCGAUCCACUGGCAGUCGAUGUCGGCGCUUUGGAGCAAAUAAAGGAUCUUAUUUGGGAAACUGAAUCGUCUACUUCCAUCUUGCUGCCUCUAGAGGGCGCCACAGUGUCCCACCAUCCAUCACAUCCAUGACCUUUGACCUGUCUGGUGACGAUACUGUCUUGCUUUAACUAUGCUUCAUUGCUCCACCUCUACAGACUGUUGGGUACUGCUAACUAAACAGCUAGCUGCACAACGCAGCGUUUAGUGGAAGCUAAUGCUACAGCGCUAACUUCAAUUCAAAGACACCAGCUUGAUUUUAUAAUAAAUUUAUAAUCUACUGGUUCAGUAAUUGUCAUUGUAUUUAAGUCUGUACCUUCUUCUCUACUGUCUGUUUUAUUUUCUUGUUUGAAAUAAUGUUACUGGAAAUAAAUAACAAACUGUGAAGAACCAAA